UCAUUCGAUGGAAGACCGUUGCAAAUUGCGAUAAAGUGAUGUGAUGCGCAAGUCCACCACUUAUACGUGAAUCAUCGAGUUGUUGAACGCAUUGCACCGCGCCCUAAUCCGGCUGCGGUAUGCCCCUUUGAGCGUCAUUGUAUUCCUUCGGGAGUCCUUUUACAAGGACCCGAGUUCGGAGUCCUCGGUCCCCUGUGGAUCGUGUUCUCUCAGAUCCCUCGCACCGAUCGCCUGAUGCGUCCUCUAAUGCCUAAGCGUGGAGUUCCUUCAGAGUCCGACAGGUGCUUGACCGAGUCUUGAGCUCGUGUCACCAAGUCCGCCUAACAGCGGUACUACAACGCAUGACCUCAUUGGGGUAGGACAACCCGCUAGACUUAAGCAUAUUAAUCAGCGGAGGAAAAGAAACUAACCAGGAUUCCCUCAGUAACUGCGAGUGAAGCGGGAUCGGCUCAAUGUGUGAAUCUGGCUUGGGGUACAUCCCGGGUUCGAGUUGUGCACUAUGGAUGCUUCGUCUGCGUUUGUAAAGGCGGUGGAAGUCCGUUGAAACACGGCACCUCAGAGGGUCACAGUCCUGUACCACCUGCCUGCACUCGCGCCAAUGACAAGUGCUCCUCGAGUCGCGUAGUUUUGUAAUGCUGCGCCAAGUGGGAGGUAGAGACCUUCUAAGGCUAAAUAUGAUGACGUGACCGAUAGCACACAAGUACCGCGAGGGAAAGGUGAAAAGCAACCAUGAAAAAUGGGUUGAAACAGUAGUGAAAGCGCUACCGGGAUAAGGGCUAUCGGGUGCUGGGGCUCUUUGGGUGUGCUUUAGUGCUACCCUCCGAGACGGCCCGCGAGGGUUGAUGUUGGGGCGAUAGACGCACUGCAGGAAUUCAGCUGCCUUCGGGCAGUGUUGUAGCCUGCGGUUGCUGAUCCUCCUGCGACCGUUAGCCGCCCGUCUG
rnacentral:rRNA from 1 species